GAUGCUGAGCGCUGAAGACUCACGAUCUCUCUCUGACUCCACUUGAUCGGAGCGAGUGAUCGAGUGGACGGACCGGAGCUCGUGUGUCCUCAGCGGCAGCAUC